AAGCUCGUAGUUGAAUUUCGGGGUCAGUAGGUUGGUCGUGCCACCGGUACGUACUGGUCUCACUGAUUCCUCCUUCCUGAUGAGCUGUAAUGCCAUUAAUUUGGUGUUGCAGGGAAUCUGGACUGUUACUUUGAAAAAAUUGAGUGUUUAAAGCAGGCUAACGCUUGAAUACAUUAGUAUGGAAUAAUGAAAUAGGACGUUCGAUCCUAUUUUGUUGGUUUCUAGGAUUGACGUAAUGAUUAAUAGGGAUAGUUGGG
rnacentral:rRNA from 1 species